rnacentral:snRNA from 1 species
GUGCUCGCUUUGGCAGCACAUAUGCUAAGAUUGGAGCAAUACAGAGAAGAUUUGCACAGCCCCUGCACAAAACUGACACAAAUUUGUGAAGCGUUACAUAUUUUU